GGAGUCUAGCAUGUGCGCGAGUCAUUGGGACAUGACUAAACCUAAAGGCGCAAUGAAAGUGAAGGUCCGCCUUGCGCGGACCAAGGGAGGAUGGGUGGUCGUUACGGCUACUGCCCCGCACUCCCAGGGCGUCUCAUUUCUCAUUGCGAGAGGAGGCGCACCAAGAGCGUACACGCUGGGACCCGAAAGAUGGUGAACUAUGCCUGGUCAGGACGAAGUCAGGGGAAACCCUGAUGGAGGUCCGUAGCGAUUCUGACGUGCAAAUCGAUCGUCGGAACUGGGUAUAGGGGCGAAAGACUAAUCGAACCAUCUAGUAGCUGGUUCCCUCCGAAGUUUCCCUCAGGAUAGCUGGCGCUCAUAGCGUACGAGUUUCAUCCGGUAAAGCGAAUGAUUAGAGGCAUUGGGGUCGAAACGGCCUCAACCUAUUCUCAAACUUUAAAUGGGUGAGAUCUCCGGCUUGCUCGAACUCUUGAAGCCGCGAGAAACGAAUCAGAGUGCCAAGUGGGCCAUUUUUGGUAAGCAGAACUGGCGCUGUGGGAUGAACCAAACGCUGAGUUAAAGCGCCUAAAUCGACGCUUAUGGGAUACCAUGAAAGGCGUUGGUAACUUAAGACAUCAGGACGGUGGCCAUGGAAGUC
rnacentral:rRNA from 1 species